rnacentral:rRNA from 1 species
AACGAACGCUGGCGGCAUGCCUAACACAUGCAAGUCGAACGAGACCUUCGGGUCUAGUGGCGCACGGGUGCGUAACGCGUGGGAAUCUGCCCUUGGGUUCGGAAUAACAGUUAGAAAUGACUGCUAAUACCGGAUAAUGUCUUCGGACCAAAAGAUUUAUCGCCCAGGGAUGAGCCCGCGUAGGAUUAGCUAGUUGGUGAGGUAAAGGCUCACCAAGGCGACGAUCCUUAGCUGGUCUGAGAGGAUGAUCAGCCACACCUGGGACUGAGACACGGCCCAGACUCCUACGGAGGCGAGCAGUGGGGAAUAUUGGACAAUGGCGAAAGCCUGAUCCAGCAAUGCGCGUGAGUGAUGA